AUGAAGAAGAAGAGGAAGAAGAAGAGGAGAACAAGACCAAGCCCUCCACAAGAAGAAGAAGAAAAGGAAAAGGAGGAAAAGUGGUUUGCUUCAAUGACUGCAGCCUCACCCAGGUCCUCGAGUUCCAGCCUAGGUCACUAUGCAUGCUCUCCUUUCCUUUUGAGUAGUACUCUAAACGCUCUUAUAUUAGUUUACGGAGGGAGUAUAAUUUAUUUACUUGCUCUGAAAUUCAUCCGCUCACAAACUCCUAAACUCAAUCCUAAAGCACACUCAACUCACCUGAAAUUCUUUUCUUUUCAUUUCUUUUCAUUAUAUGUAAUGUAUGCCUGCCGCACCUUAAUUACUCGGCUUAUCAUGCAUGCAUGCAUGCCAGCAUCACACCAAGUUUAUUUAUGCUUGAUUACUUACUCAUAG
rnacentral:rRNA from 1 species